GCGUUGGUGGUUCAGUGGUUGAAUUCUCACCUCCCAUGAGGGAGACCCAGGUUCCAUUCCUGCCGCUGCA
rnacentral:tRNA from 1 species